UAUCCUGUUCCCGGCAACAGUUUUGUUUCUCCAACAUGAGUGAGAAGUCGGCGCUUUCCCCGCAAGGCAUUCCUAGAUGAAGGCUCUCCCCGCAGAGUAUUCCUCAGUCAAAGUCUCCCCGCAGAGUUGGAGUACCUGAUCUUUUGGCUCCGUAGCCAGGGUGCAUUUGCAUUUUGCAUGUAGUAAUCAUUGCAUCCUCAAAACGCGUAGCAUUUCCAUUCAAUGUGGAGCAUUACGCCAUAGAAAAAUUCAAACAUAUGCAUUCAUGUGUUC
rnacentral:lncRNA from 1 species